rnacentral:sRNA from 1 species
AGUGUUGUGUGUUGAGAGGUCAGCAUCCAGGUGGAGAGGAAGUAUUAUUGGAGCAAGCAGGUGGAGAUGCAACAGAAGCUUUUGAAGAUGUUGGUCACUCAACAGAUGCCAGAACACUAAUGAAUGAUUAUCUAGUUGGUGACUUACAUCCUGAUGACAGAUCUAAGAAAACAUAUGCUACAAAUACCGGACCAACAGCUACAGAUUCACCAUCAUCAGGGUAAACUUGAGUUUUUUUUUCUGUGCCUUCAUAAUGUUGAGUAGCUUGAC